rnacentral:miRNA from 1 species
UUAGGUUGGUGCAAAAGUAAUUGAGGUUUUGCCAUUGAAAGUAAUGGCAAACACCACAGUUACUUUUGCACCAAGCUAAU